rnacentral:misc_RNA from 1 species
CAAGAGGUGAGCUUGCCUGCA